GCCCAUGUAGUUCAGUGGCAGAACGCCACACUGGUAAUGUGGAGGUCGGGGGUUCGAAUCCCCCCGUGGGCU
rnacentral:tRNA from 1 species